rnacentral:rRNA from 1 species
AAUCUUGCGCAAUGGGCGAAAGCCUGACGCAGCCAUGCCGCGUGAAUGAUGAAGGGCUUAUGAUUGUAAAAUUCUUUCUCCGGGGACGAGAAUAACGGUACCCGGAGAAGAAGCCCCGGCUAACGUCGUUGCAGCAGCCGCGGUAAUACGAAGGGGGCUAGCGUUGCUCGGAAUUACUGGGCGUAAAGGGCGCGUAGGCGGACAUUUAAGUCAGGGGUGAAAUCCCAGAGCUCAACUCUGGAACUGCCUUUGAUACUGGGUGUCUUGAGUGUGAGAGAGGUAGGUGGAACUCCGAGUGUAGAGGUGAAAUUCGUAGAUAUUCGGAAGAACACAAGUGGCGAAGGCGACAUACUGGCUCAUUACUGACGCUGAGGCGCGAAAGCGUGGGGAGCAAACAG